rnacentral:rRNA from 1 species
UACAGAGGUCUCAAGCGUUGUUCGGAAUCACUGGGCGUAAAGCGUGCGUAGGCUGUUUCGUAAGUCGUGUGUGAAAGGCGCGGGCUCAACCCGCGGACGGCACAUGAUACUGCGAGACUAGAGUAACGGAGGGGGAACCGGAAUUCUCGGUGUAGCAGUGAAAUGCGUAGAUAUCGAGAGGAACACUCGUGGCGAAGGCGGGUUCCUGGACAUUAACUGACGCUGAGGCACGAAGGCCAGGGGAGCGAAAGGG